rnacentral:lncRNA from 1 species
CUUUCCUGUUUUUAGCUAUAAAACUUACUAUGUAUUUUAUUAAUGCUUUCUCUCCCAUUAUUUUAAUUAAUUUCUUUUAAUCUCCUAAAGACAUUACAGAUUAUAAACAUUUAGGUGAAAUGUUUUUGUUAGUACUGAUUAAAAGAUAUUUUUUAUCUUAAUUGUAUAUACUUAAAAAGUGAACGAUGACUGAAACAUAAUUUUUUAAAAAUGUUAUGAAAAGAGAUCUGAGAAGGGUAAAAGGAAACAUGUUUUUAAUUGUGUUUCUGCAAUGAUAGCUGCUACCUAGGGCCAUGGUACUGGACCAGAGCUCCACUUAUCUGACCCAAGAAAACUUGUUUUAUUACUAAGAAUAUUCCCUUAUCACUUUCUUGGGUAUUAUAGGUUCAAUCCAUCCUCAGGAGUUCUCAUUCAAACUCACCCAUGUCUCACCUCAUACUAAACUCUCUUUCACUGGAAUGAACUAGGGAUGGUAGUAACGGGUAGAACACAGAUAUUGUCUACUUCAAUCCAAAAUAAAAGAUUCUUUGUUUGCCUCAUUAUUAAUCGGAUAUUUAUUUAAAAAAUAUUUAUGUAUAUUUUAAAAAAUAUUUUAUAAAUUUGUAAAAUAAAAUUUAAAUAAAAUUAAAAAAUAUAAAAUAUAGUAUAAAUCAAAAUUUGAUUUUAAUUAAAGUUAAUUUAAUAAUUAUAAAUUAAUUUUAAUUUAAUUUAAUUUAAUAAAAUAUAAAUUAAAUUUUAAUUUUAAUGUUUUGUGUAUAUAUUUAUUAUGAUAUAUGAUAUUGAAAUACUUAUUAUAUAUUAUUAUUGGUAUAUAUUUAUUAUUCUUUAUAUCUUUUACCAUCUCUAAAAUGAUCCUUGAGAGAAAAACUCACUUAAUUUUUUUAAAUAUAUUUUUCUCGUCCAAAACAUGACCUUUUUAUUAUUUUAUGACUAAUAAAAACUUACUUGUUUUAGAAAAAUAAUGAUAGAUAAGAGUAUUUCCUUUUUUAUUUUUUAAUUCCAUAUGAGAACUUUUUUCAUACGAAACUAUAAUAUAACCUCAUAUAACUUUUGAUUUGGGUAGGAACUGAGGUUUUUUAUUCAAAGUAUUCCAAGUUGUUUUGAAGAUUGGAUAAAUUCUCUAAUGGGUCUUCCUUAAUCUAAGUUAUGUUAUUCACUCUCCCUACUCCUUAUUCAAAUCAUGCGAGUGGAAAUCUAUCAAAGGUGUUCCAACAUUCAAGUUAGUAAUAUGACCGAUUGGUUAACAUAACAAGGAAUGCAUAUUAUGUGCAUGAUGGUCUAAAAUCAUACUUAGGAUCUUUAUUUAUAGUAGUAGGGAUGAACCUUUAUCUUUUGUGUUUCUACUGUGUGGGUCUCCGGGUUAAUCCGAGUCGUUCUUCUUUACCGACCGCCCGUCUCAGUCCUCCGGGUGGCGUUGUUGAUCCUCCGAGUCGAGAGUCCUCCUGUUACGUUCGGCAGGAUACCUGCUAAAGGCACUCCGACGCUGAAGUCAAGGUUAAGUUUUUUAUAUUAAAGAUAGAGAUAGAGAGAGAAAGUGAAAUAAAUGUGCAUUAAAUGUGUCCGCCUACCUCUUACCUUUGACUCCUAUUUAUAGUUUUUCUCAUGGGCCAAUGAUUAGUGGGAACUUAAUCACGGCCCAAUUGCAGGCCUGUUGAGGCUAAUUUAGUUUUACCUUAAUCUCAAAUGCUUAUGAUACCUUAGUCUGUGAACUCCGCCGGCCGUCCCUAUUGUGUUUAACAAGAAAAGAUUUGACGUUGGUCAUCACUCUCGAUCCUACAGUAUGCCGGUGUCCCAAGUUCUGAUCGGCACUGACGCAAUGACGCAUCUGAUCGUUCGGUCUUCCUGCAGCUGGAUUCUUACGGACGCGUUCGUGACCGGCUAUGAUUAUUGACAGUCAUGCGGACGUGACGGCGAAGUGAGGUUCACCGCCUAGGUCAUAUAUGUUUCGUCUCUCAGGAUUUUUAGAGAACAUGUGAUGGCGGGGCUUCAUGAGAAUUCUUUAAGGUUUUUCUUACAAACAGAGGUUACUCCCGGCCCCGAGAUCGGACUCCACCGUGGUGUUUUCUCGGGUUGAGGCGUACCGCCCGUUCUGGUUAUCCCUACGAUCGUUUACCUGCCUUUGCUGCCAGAACGGGGAUCCGUGGGCCGUGGCCGUUUGCCGGACCGGACCUUCUCGUGGCCGGGUAAGGUCCGGUUGGUUAUGUAGGGUACAUUUUGUUAGCCUAAUAAAAGCCUAAUCACAUUCUAAUAUGCAUCAAGAGCUUAACGAGUCAUUAUUAUUGAUAAUCUGACCAUGUUGUGUCCGAUCAAUCACAUUGUUCGAUCAUACUAGGCGAUAUAGUAACUCGAUGCAGAGGAGCUUGACCUUGAAAGAGAAUGCCUUGAAUGGAUGGUUUGGAUGGACGACCAGGAUGGUCACUCUGAAUUGAUGGCCUGGGUGGACGGUAAGAUAAUGCCAAAUCAUACUGUACCGUACAAAUUUAAUAAAAUUAAAAAUAAAAUAGUUUAUAAUUUAGUUUAGCACAAAAACAACUUUUUUUUUAUAAUAAACUUAAUUGCUUAUUUGAUCCCUUCAAAAGUUUUUUUCUAUUUAAUAUCUGCUUUUAAAAAUAUCUAUAUUUAAUUAUACUGUGAUAUAAAUUAAUCAAUAGAUAAAUUGAUAGAAAUGAAAUUAAGUUAGUGGUGACUUAACAACAAAAGUCUUCAACUUUUUUCUCUCUCUUCUAUGCUCCUCUGUCGUGUCCCUAUCAAUGUUGCUUCAAAUGACACUUUUAUGUUAUUUCAUAAAUGUAAUGCAAUUAUUACUUAUUACUGAUAUUUAAAGUUUAAUAAUUUACUUAUUCAAAAACCUUUCUUUUACUAACCAACGUAACCUAAAUAAACAAUAUUAAACUUUUAAAGACAAUAUUAAUUUUUUAAAGAACAUUCUUCCGCUAACUGUUAUGUUUAUAUUUAUUAUUAUUAUUAUUAUAUUAUUAUUAUUAUACAUAUUUUAAGAUAAAAAAAUGAAAUUAAUAGUAUGAUAAUAUAUAUUCAUAAUAUUUUAUACUAAUAAUAAUAAUAAUAAUAAUAAUAAUAAUAAUAAUAAUGAUAAUUUUAAAAGAAGUAAAGUAAAAAAGUUAUUCAAGUUGUAAUGACCUUAAUUUUUUUUAUCCUAAUAUAUAAAAUAAACUUUUAAAAACCCUUUCUACUUCAAUUUCAGAAAAACUGAUUCUCUCUCUAGAAACAAAAUACCCCAAAAUCCUCUACCUUCUCACUACACUAAAUCUAAACUGGAUCAUUCAAUUUCUGAUCAGAAAGUUCCUGAGCGUUCCUGGAGCUAAAAGCUACAUUCUAGGCCGAUUGAAUUUCUUGUUCUUUAACGGGUAAGUAUAAUUCCUUUCUUAGUACAACUCUAGGGUCUUGAUCAAUCCUUGGUCCUUGAUGCAUGUGAUUCUUAGCAUUUUCUUACAAUUUCUAGUUUCAAAUAGGUUCUGAAUUUCUCCUCAAUUUCCCAAUUCUUGAAUCCUUAGGUAAUUCUAGCAAUAUCUUCUGGUAUCGCGUACNGUAGAGCUCCUUGGAGAAUCUGCUGUUGCAUUGAGGUAAGGGGAGUUAGUUUUGAGUGUUGAUUGUAAUUGAUUGUAGGAAUAUAUUCUGAUCUUGUGUGAUAAAAUGGAAUGCAUGCGUAUGAAGAAAUUAUUUCCUGGAAAUUGAUGUUUGAGCUAAAAUUUUAGUAUGAAACUGUUUGCACUGUGUAAUGUACAAUGGGUAUUUAAUUUAUGAUGAAUAAUUGUGUAUUAGAUUUAUUGUGAUAGAUGUACUAUUGGAUUCUG